ensembl:misc_RNA Metazoa_SRP Metazoan signal recognition particle RNA
GCCGGGCGCGGUGGCUCACGCCUGUAAUCCCAGCACCUUGGGAGGCCGAGGCAGGCGGAUCACCUGAGGUCAGGAGUUCAAGACCAGCCUGACCAACAUGGUGAAAGCCUCUCUCCA